rnacentral:ncRNA from 2 species
UAGCGAUUUGAAAUAGUUGGUGUCACAAUUGUGACUUAAUAGGGAAUUUGGUGCGAUGCCAAAACUGUCCCCGCAACUGUAAAUGUGGACGAAAUGAGAUUACCACUGUAUGAACGGGCUUAAGAACUAGGUCCCCAUAUGGGAAGGCUCAAAGUAGGAAGAAGCAUAAGUCAGUAGACCUGCCAAUUAUGAUACCUGUUU